UGUGUUGUUUGAUAUUUCGUAAUUCUUCUGACUUAUUAGAUCGAAGAGUACUUUACACUCACUUGCUUAGCUAAUUUCCACCUUAAGCUAAAACAAUCCGAUUCAAUUAUCCAGUCAAUCGGUCAUUCAAUCAUUUUUUCCUCUUAACACAAACGAGCAUUUAUUUAUUUAUUUAUUUUGCCUGCAGCUUGAAAUUGAAAUGAAAAUAUUUUGACAAUCACUGGCAUGUGGCGAGUUAUUGUUUAACUCUAUUGUACAACAACAUGAGGUAAUUAUUUAGAUCAUUUGUUUUGGUCCCUGGAGUCUUCCCAAUGGGGGGCCGCUGGCAGUGUAAAAAGGGAAGUGGAAAAUGGGAAACUAGACGGCCCUCGAGAGCUUUUCGUCGCAUUCAUAAAUAAGAAACAACAACUUGGCGCCUCUCUCUCCUAAAGCAAACAAGAAAACAGCAGCAAGAAUCCAAACAGAUCGGCAAAUAAAUCAAACAAAAAAUGUUUAUGUUUUUUACAUCAAGGAAAUGAAUCAGUCGGAAUGAAAAUGUUUGGAAAAGCUUUAGCUUAAAUUGAAAGCAACUAUAAAUAAAACUUAGUGCUACUGUAAAUUGCUGGGAAAAAGAGAAAUGGAAAUGAUUAUGUAAUUUGAAACACUUGACUAAGGAAUUGAUUGAGUCUCGGAUUCGAUUUUGAAUUUAUAAUAUUGUUUGUUCAUGCUUUGAAUUUAAUUCGAUAUCCUCGGCUCGUAAUCAAUAACGAUUGCGAUGAUAAAGUGUUAUCUGCAAUUCAAGCCAAGACGUCAACUGUCUUUAAGCCACAUGGCAGCAGUAAUAGCCAUGACAAUUGCUGGCGACAAAUUGGCAAUGACUCAAGCAAACGCCUUCCCCUCCCUUCAUUCAAUAGGCGCCACUUGACAUCAACAGCAAAAGCAACAGCAACAGCAAAAGCAACAAUGACAACAGUGUAACGUAAAUGUGUCUUUGAUUUUUCCUUUAUUUCUAUAUUUUGCACACAGCAACAACAACAGCAAUCCUCUGAGCAAUGCUCUGCACGUGACCAAUGACAAUUUGCGAUUCGAGUUGCUGCUGCCCAUUUAUGACCCGUCUCGUUCCUGUCUCCCCCAUUGUUGAGUGGAUUUUUUAUUUGAUUUUGCUGUCGUUUAUUAGACUUUGGGACAAACGUCUCUCCCACCCUCUUCCCCUGGAUAACUACCACAUCUCAGAGUAGUCUUGGACUUGGGCCGAGAACUUUACUCGUUGUCGUCGAUUUGAGCUUUAAUACUUCCUGCAGGCGCAUUUGUUGGGAUUUUGGGGUCUCUUGCCCAACAUCAAACGCUUUGGCGGAAGUUCAAAUUGCUGUGGCAGCCCAUACACUUGUUGGCAUAUAGACCCGAUACCCAAGAAUUGCAAUAAUACGCUUCCAAUUGCUUAUGACCAAAUCCUGUUCCACUGACAAAUUCAUUCAAAUGAACUUCCAAAUUAGCCA